rnacentral:rRNA from 1 species
CCCCACCAUUAACCCCCUUCCGUAGUGAACCUGCGGAAGGAUCAUUACCGAGUGCGGGCCCUCGCGGCCCAACCUCCCACCCUUGUCUCUCUACCCCUGUUGCUUUGGCGGGCCCACCGGGGCCACCUGGUCGCCGGGGGACGCACGUCCCCGGGCCCGCGCCCGCCGAAGCGCUCUGUGAACCCUGAUGAAGAUGGGCUGUCUGAGUACGAUGAAAAUUGUCAAAACUUUCAACAAUGGAUCUCUUGGUUCCGGCAUCGAUGAAGAACGCAGCGAAAUGCGAUAAGUAAUGUGAAUUGCAGAAUUCCGUGAAUCAUCGAAUCUUUGAACGCACAUUGCGCCCCCUGGCAUUCCGGGGGGCAUGCCUGUCCGAGCGUCAUUUCUGCCCUCAAGCACGGCUUGUGUGUUGGGUGUGGUCCCCCCGGGGACCUGCCCGAAAGGCAGCGGCGACGUCCGUCUGGUCCUCGAGCGUAUGGGGCUCUGUCACUCGCUCGGGAAGGACCUGCGGGGGUUGGUCACCACCACAUUUACCACGUGACCUCGAUCAGUAGAUACCCGCUGA